rnacentral:rRNA from 1 species
CCUACGGGAGGCAGCAGUGGGGGAUAUUGCACAAUGGGGGGAACCCUGAUGCAGCGACGCCGCGUGAAGGAAGAAGGCUUUCGGGUUGUAAACUUCUUUUAAGAGGGAAGAGCAGAAGACGGUACCUCUUGAAUAAGCCACGGCUAACUACGUGCCAGCAGCCGCGGUAAUACGUAGGUGGCAAGCGUUGUCCGGAUUUACUGGGUGUAAAGGGCGUGCAGCCGGGAAGACAAGUCAGAUGUGAAAUCCCGCGGCUCAACCGCGGAACUGCAUUUGAAACUGUUUUUCUUGAGUACCGGAGAGGUCAGCGGAAUUCCUUGGGUAGCGGUGAAAUGCGUAGAUAUAAGGAAGAACACCAGGGGCGAAGGCGGAUGAAUGGACGGCAACUGACGGUGAGGCGCGAAAGCGUGGGGAGCAAACAGGAUUAGAUACCCGAGUAGUC